rnacentral:piRNA from 1 species
UUGAACAACGUCUCUGGCAAU